rnacentral:rRNA from 1 species
UACGGAGGGUGCGAGCGUUAAUCGGAAUUACUGGGCGUAAAGCGCACGCAGGCGGUUUGUUAAGCUAGAUGUGAAAGCCCCGGGCUCAACCUGGGAUGGUCAUUUAGAACUGGCAGACUAGAGUCUUGGAGAGGGGAGUGGAAUUCUAGGUGUAGCGGUGAAAUGCGUAGAUAUCUGGAGGAACAUCAGUGGCGAAGGCGACUCCCUGGCCAAAGACUGACGCUCAUGUGCGAAAGUGUGGGUAGCGAACAGG